UACGGGGGGAGCAAGCGUUGUUCGGAUUUACUGGGCGUAAAGGGCGCGUAGGCGGUCGUGACAAGUCACUUGUGAAAUCUCCGGGCUUAACUCGGAACGGUCAAGUGAUACUGUCGGACUAGAGUGCAGAAGGGGCAACUGGAAUUCUCGGUGUAGCGGUGAAAUGCGUAGAUAUCGAGAGGAACACCUGCGGCGAAGGCGGGUUGCUGGGCUGACACUGACGCUGAGAAGCGAAAGCGUGGGGAGCGAACAGG
rnacentral:rRNA from 1 species